rnacentral:rRNA from 1 species
GCCCCCCUGUGAGAACGCCCUUAAAUCCCUCUAGGGAUCAGGAGCUGGUAUCAGGCUCGAUUUUCAGCCCACAACACCUAGCCACGCCACACCCACAAGGGUAUACAGCAGUGAUCAACAUUGUCCAUAAGCGCAAGCUUGAUUCAGUCAGGGUAAACAGAGCCGGCAAACCUGGUGCCAGCCGCCGCGGCCACACCACGGGCUCAAAUUGAUUGCGUUCGGCGUAAAGCGUGAUUAAAGUCCCCCCUUACCUGCAGUUAAACUGAACCUAAGACGUAGAACCCUUUGAAUUCAGGAAACACAGAAACGAAAGUUACUGCAAAACAACCAACUUGACUUCACGACAGUUAAGACACAAACUGGGAUUAGAUACCCCACUAUGCUUAACCGUAAAACUUUAACUUACACCCAAAUCGCCUGGGAACUACGAGCAAUGCUUAAAACCCAAAGGACUUGACGGUGCCCCAUUCCACCUAGAGGAGCCUGUCCUAUAAUCGAUAACCCCCGUUUAACCUCACCACUCUUCGCUUGUCAGUCUGUAUACCUCCGUCGUCAGUUUACCACGUGAGCGAUCUCAGUAAGCAAAAAGGCCUUAUUCACCAAAACGUCAGGUCAAGGUGCAGCUAAUAGAGUGGGAAGAGAUGGGCUACACUCUCUAAUAUAGAAAAUACGAAAAACUACCGAUGAAACUCGAGUUAGAAGGCGGAUUUAGCAGUAAAAUGAGACAAAAGCGCUCAUUUAAACACGGCCCUGGGGUGUGUACACACCGCCCGUCACCCUCUUCGAAACCUAAAGAAUAGUAUGUAACACCCUAUUACCCAUAAAGAAGA